GAUGAACGCUGGCGGCGUGCCUAAUACAUGCAAGUCGAGCGAACAGACGAGGAGCUUGCUCCUCUGACGUUAGCGGCGGACGGGUGAGUAACACGUGGAUAACCUACCUAUAAGACUGGGAUAACUUCGGGAAACCGGAGCUAAUACCGGAUAAUAUAUUGAACCGCAUGGUUCAAUAGUGAAGGACGGUUUUGCUGUCACUUAUAGAUGGAUCCGCGCCGCAUUAGCUAGUUGGUAAGGUAACGGCUUACCAAGGCAACGAUGCGUAGCCGACCUGAGAGGGUGAUCGGCCACACUGGAACUGAGACACGGUCCAGACUCCUACGGGAGGCAGCAGUAGGGAAUCUUCCGUAAUGGGCGAAAGCCUGACGGAGCAACGCCGCGUGAGUGAUGAAGGUCUUCGGAUCGUAAAACUCUGUUAUUAGGGAAGAACAAAUGUGUAAGUAACUAUGCACGUCUUGACGGUACCUAAUCAGAAAGCCACGGCUAACUACGUG
rnacentral:rRNA from 1 species